UACGUAGGUGGCAAGCGUUGUCCGGAUUUACUGGGCGUAAAGAGCGCGCAGGCGGUCGUUCAAGUCGCGUGUGAAAGCCCCCGGCUCAACUGGGGAGGGUCACGCGAUACUGAUCGACUCGAAGGCAGGAGAGGGUAGUGGAAUUCCCGGUGUAGUGGUGAAAUGCGUAGAUAUCGGGAGGAACACCAGUGGCGAAGGCGGCUCACUGGCCCGUUACCGACGCUCAGGCGCGACAGCGUGGGGAGCAAACAGG
rnacentral:rRNA from 1 species